AUGACAAACGAACAUCACAUGAGAUGUCACUGCCAACGUUGUGGCAAAUGUCAUUGUCAUAUUCAUGAGUGAACGCUCUGAGUAAGAUUAUAUUAUUAUAGUCUGCACUUUCUGUUCCGGAUGUUUGGUUGUUGGUCGUGGAUUGAACUUUAAGAUGUAAAAAAUAACCUCACAUAAAAAUUAAUUGUAAUAAUUUUAAAGAAAAAACAGAAAUAAAGAGGUCCAAUUAAAAAACAAGCCAGAUUUUCAUUAACAAUAAAAGAACGUGUGUUUGUCGCUGAACUUCCAUCACGAAAUAUGAAGUUAAUAAAACAACAAUGACAUGAGAGAGGAGAGAGAGAGAGAUAUAGAAUGAGAUUUUUUGAAAUUCAUUUACCGAGUAUUCAAUUCUCAAUAAACACAGGAUCUCUUUAGAAUGUGAUUAUGUAAAUAAAAAGAUGGAAAUAAAGGACAAGAUUUGUAAAAUAAAAACACUUAUUAUCACUAUCAUCUUUUAAAUUGACCGUUAAUUUAGUUGUACAAUCAAUUUUUUAAGGAUUAAAGUACAAAAUAAG